AGUGAACGCUGGCGGUAGGCCUAACACAUGCAAGUCGAACGGCAGCACAGUAAGAGCUUGCUCUUACGGGUGGCGAGUGGCGGACGGGUGAGGAAUACAUCGGAAUCUACUUUUUCGUGGGGGAUAACGUAGGGAAACUUACGCUAAUACAGCAUACGACCUACGGGUGAAAGCAGGGGAUCUUCGGACCUUGCGCGAUUGAAUGAGCCGAUGUCGGAUUAGCUAGUUGGCGGGGUAAAGGCCCACCAAGGCGACGAUCCGUAGCUGGUCUGAGGGGAUGAUCAGCCACACUGGAACUGAGACACGGUCCAGACUCCUACGGGAGGCAGCAGUGGGGAAUAUUGGACAAAGGGCGCAAGCCUGAUCCAGCCAUACCGCGUGGGUGAAGAAGGCCUUCGGGUUGUAAAGCCCUUUUGUUGGGAAAGAAAAGCAGCAGGUUAAUACCCCGCUGUUCUGACGGUACCCAAAGAAUAAGCACCGGCUAACUUCGUG
rnacentral:rRNA from 1 species